CUGACUGAUAUCUAUGGGUGUAUCUGACUCAUAUCUAUGGGUGUAUCUUACUGAUAUCUAUGGGUGUAUUUUUCAUUUCAAAAAAAAUGGCAGGCAGAAACCAAGCUGAAAAAAAUCAAAUCAAGGACCUAAAGUGUGCAACCCAUCUGUUGAGUGAGAAAUUCAGAAAUAUGAGCGAGGAGAAGUGAUGCAAUAAGACUGUCCAGGCCAUCCUCAUUGUUAUUGAGUCCAUUUUGUCAGAUAGAUUCUAAUGAUAUUGUCACUGAUUAAUGUAACUGUUAUAUACUCUUGUAAGAAAUUGAACACAUGGUGUAAAUAUAUUUGAUCCAAUUAUAAGUAAAUUUUUUUUCCAUAAUUAAACUC